rnacentral:rRNA from 1 species
GCGGUUAUACGAGAGGCCCAAGUUGACAGUCACCGGCGUAAAGAGUGGUUAAAGAAUGAUUAAAACUAAAGCCGAACACCUUCAAGGCAGUUAUACGCACCCGAAGGUUAGAAGCCCAACUACGAAAGUGGCUUUAUCUUUCCUGAACCCACGAGAGCUACGGCACAAACUGGGAUUAGAUACCCCACUAUGCCUAGCCCUAAACAUUGAUAGUACUCUACACCCACUAUCCGCCCGGGAACUACGAGCAUCAGCUUGAAACCCAAAGGACUUGGCGGUGCUUUAGAUCCACCUAGAGGAGCCUGUUCUAGAACCGAUAACCCCCGUUCAACCUCACCUUUUCUUGUUUUCCCCGCCUAUAUACCGCCGUCGUCAGCUUACCCUGUGAAGGACUCAUAGUAAGCAAAAUUGGCACAGCCCAAAACGUCAGGUCGAGGUGUAGCGUAUGGAAAGGGAAGAAAUGGGCUACAUUCCCUAUAAUUAGUGAAUACGGACGAUGUCCUGAAAGAGACAUCUGAAGGAGGAUUUAGCAGUAAGCAGGAAAUAGAGCGUUCCGCUGAAAUUGGCCCUGAAGCGCGCACACACCGCCCGUCACUCUCCCCAAGCUUACAAAUUAAUUAAUUAAAACCCUAAGAUUGCACAGGGGAGGCAAGUCGUAA